rnacentral:rRNA from 1 species
UACAGAGGGGGCAAGCGUUGUUCGGAAUUACUGGGCGUAAAGGGCGCGUAGGCGGCCUUCUAAGUCGAACGUGAAAUCCCCGGGCUCAACCCGGGAACUGCGUCCGAGACUGGAAGGCUCGAAUCCGGGAGAGGGAUGUGGAAUUCCAGGUGUAGCGGUGAAAUGCGUAGAUAUCUGGAGGAACAUCGGUGGCGAAGGCGGCAUCCUGGACCGGUAUUGACGCUGAGGCGCGAAAGUUAGGGGAGCAAACGGG